UAUCAUAUGAGUUCAGGUUAGGUCAAUUUCAUUUUAGAUCAUAUUAGGUUUUUCACCAUUUUGCAUACAGGUCAAGUUCGAUUAGACUUAUAUCUGACUUGGGUUUGUGACGGAUAAGUCGGGUUCGGCUCAAUCAACAUUGAUUGACGACUAUUCACAAAAUUGUCAACUCUAGACAAAUUCAACAGGACUAAAACGCACCGUAUUCCUCCGUUCUUCAAACGCAUCACUUUCUGGGUUUCCGUACUAUCGUAGAAGAUCCUCCAUUGACGAAUUUCGAACAAACUCCACACCUUUCGUUGUAGUUCAGCAAAUCAAAGUGAAAAUAAAGAGGGUCAUUGGAUGGAUGCUUUGUUAAAUUGAUUAUUUCAUGUAAUCUUCAGCACACACUUUUAAAAGCUUGGAGCACUUAAACAUGCUGCUAUCAUUUGGGUUGGUGCUCCUUUUCUAACUCAGCAAACUGUAUACGACCCUGGCAAUUUUUGUUUUCGGCGCGGUCGCCUCAUUUUCACCCUGUAUAUUUGUGUAUAUUUGUGUAUACAUACAAGAAAUUUUUUGUCAAAUUUAUCAAGAGAAAA